rnacentral:tRNA from 1 species
CCGCCCAUAGCUCAGUGGUAGAGCGGUCGUCUUAUACACGAUUGAUGGGGGUCCGAUUCCCUCUGGGCGGA